GAUUUCUGAUUCGAUAGGUCUAGUCCGCCACGGUUACGUGUGUGAGUACUGGAACAUUAUCGAUCAUCCGUUCUAGAUCACCCUCCUACUCUUCACUGAGCCGGGAGCCAGUGCAUUCUAGAUCUUUUACUUUGAACAAAUUAGAGUGUUUCAAGCAGGCGUUGUUUGCGUUGAAUACAUUAGCAUGGAAUAAUAAUUUAGGACUUCGGUUCUAUUUUGUUGGUUUCUAGGACUGAAGUAAUGAUUGAUAGGGAUAGUUGGGGGUGCUAGUAUUCAGCGGCCAGAGGUGAAAUUCUCGGAUUCGCUGAAGACUAACUUAUGCGAAAGCAUU
rnacentral:rRNA from 1 species